AUGAAGUACAUUGCAUGGAGUAUGCCCUACAUUCAUUCAGAAUGUGGGGUGAGCCAAGGAGAGCAGGUAGAACAGCGUCCUUCUACCCUGAGAGUCCAGGAGGGAGCCAGCACUGCCAUCAACUGCACAUAUGUAGACAAAACCUCAUACAACUUCCUUUGGUAUAAACAAGGACCUGGAGAGCAUCCUAAGCUCAUUGUUGACAUUCAUUCAAAUAUGGAAAGAAAGCAUGAUGAAGAACUGAUAGUUUUACUGGAUAAGAAAGCCAAACACUUCUCCAUGCACAUCACAGACGCCCAGCCUGGAGACUCGGCCACAUACUUCUGUGCUGCAAGGGCACACUGCUCCCCAGGCACCUGCAGCCUCUCCUUAAUCCUGCCACAGGGCCUGGAGCCCCGUCCACAUCCUGCCUAA